GACGAACGCUGGCGGCGUGCUUAACACAUGCAAGUCGAACGAUGAAGCUAGAGCUUGCUCUGGUGAAUUAGUGGCGAACGGGUGAGUAACACGUGAGUAACCUGCCCCGAACUCUGGGAUAACUGCUGGAAACGGUAGCUAAUACUGGAUACGACCUACGAAGGCAUCUUCUGUAGGUGGAAAGAAUUUCGGUUCGGGAUGGACUCGCGGUCUAUCAGCUUGUUGGUGAGGGAAUGGCUCACCAAGGCGACGACGGGUAGUCGGCCUGAGAGGAUGACCAGCCACACUGGGACUGAGACACGGCCCAGACUCCUACGGGAGGCAGCAGUGGGGAAUAUUGCACGAUGGGCGCAAGCCUGAUGCAGCAACGCCGCGUGAGGGAUGACGGCCUUCGGGUUGUAAACCUCUUUUAGUAGGGAAGACGCGAAAGUGACGGUACCUGCAGAAAAAGCACCGGCUAACUACGUGCCAGCCGCCGCAGUAA
rnacentral:rRNA from 1 species